rnacentral:rRNA from 1 species
GAUGAACGCUAGCGGCAGGCCUAAUACAUGCAAGUCGAACGGUGUCUUCGGACAUAGUGGCGCACGGGUGCGUAACACGUAUGCAACCUACCUUACAUUGGGGGAUAGCCUUUCGAAAGGGAGAUUAAUACCGCAUAAGACAGUAGCUGGGCAUCCAGCAGCUGUUAAAGAUUUAUCGAUGUAAGCUGGGCAUGCGUCCAAUUAGCUAGUUGGUGAGGUAACGGCUCACCAAGGCAAUGAUUGGUAGGGGAACUGAGAGGUCAAUCCCCCACACUGGCACUGGGAUACUGGCCAGACUCCUACGGGAGGCAGCAGUAGGGAAUAUUGGGCAAUGGACGCAAGUCUGACCCAGCCAUGCCGCGUGCAGGAUGAAGGCGUUAUGCGUUGUAAACUGCUUUUAUACAGGAAGAAACGACUCUUGCGAGAGGCAUUGACGGUACUGUAUGAAUAAGCACCGGCUAACUCCGUGCCAGCAGCCGCUGUAAUAC